CACGAAGGAACGCAGACUAAGAGCGCCGUGUCCUGUGGCAACGUCUGCAUGACCCUCAUCCUGGGGC
rnacentral:sRNA from 1 species